AUAAAAUCGAGACAUCUGGUCACCUGUGUGUGUAGCUUAACAACUCAUAGCUGUAAUUGUGCAUUGCUUGUAUGUACUGUUACUAGAAAUGGAGCAAGGUUGAUAGACAAUAAAUGCAUCAUUGGGAUCUUUGGAUUAAUAUCCCCAGAGGAGGAAAAAAGUAGAAUUAUUUUACUUUUAUUUUUUCAUUCAGUUAAACUAAAUAAAACUAGAAGAAGUGUGAGGAUCCCAUACCACACAGUUCUCACUCAUAACCAGUGGGGAAACAUGUAAAACUCAGGCAGAACACCUAUUGAACCCAUGGGAACGUCUCCUGCGUAAAGACUGAGGGUGAAGCCUUAGCCCCAUUGAAAUCAAUGCCAGUUUGCCAUUAACUUUAAUGGGGCCAGGAUUCUGAGCGAGGAUAUCAAGAUUUGCCCGCUGGCAUAAAAAAAAACACACACACAAAAAAAUGGACAAACCAGAAACAAACACAAAAGCUUUGAAGUGGUGCGAAGUUCUAUUAAAAAAGACCUGGGAUUCAUUUAUUAAUCCAGGGAGAGGAGCAACCAUUUUUAUGAAUAAGUACUCGGAGGAACUUGCACUGGUAAAAAGCUAUUCUUGCUCUGAAGUUUUUGUAACAGUCGUCAAAAUGUGGAAUGCUGUGGCUAAAAUCCUAUUAAGGACUAAAGUCCACCAAGACUAUUCACGCACUCUACUGCUAGUGCAAAAGGGCAGGAGUAUUCUUACAAGACCGCCUUCCUCUAGGAAUUGUUGGCAGCAUAUAGCUGGAGCAGUUCAGCCUUUCAACGUGAGUACAAGUAUCCAGAAAGUGGAAGCUUUGGAUGUGAAUAAUUUUGUCCGUAUUCACUGGGAAGAUGGGAGUAAGAGCCUUUACCCUGCUGUAUGGCUAAGAGACAACUGCCAGUGCCCUGACUGCUUCCUGCAUUCUGCUAAAGCACGCAAACUGCUUUUGGAAGACCUGGAUGUUAACAUUGGAGUGAAGGAGGUCAUUUUGACAGAUAGACAAAAGGUGUAUAUUACAUGGCCAGACAAACACACCAGUGAAUUUGAGGCUGAAUGGCUGAAGAAAAGGUGCUUUUCUGAACAAGCCAGAGCAGAAAUGCAAGAAGAAUUAUUUUUACCAGAAUGUAAAUAUUGGGGCUCAGAUCUGCAGCUCCCAAAUAUGUCUUUUGAAGAAGUCUUACACAGUGAUGAAAGUGCCUACAAGUGGCUUUCCACCCUUAAAAAAGUAGGAAUUGUGCUGUUAACAGGAGCUGUCACUAGACAGGGAGAGUUGGUUAAACUUGGCAAAAGGAUUGGUUUCCUGCGUCUCACAUUUUAUGGCCCUACUUGGCAAGUGGAAGACAAAAGGGAUGCUAAUAAUGUGGCUUACACAUCUGGGAAGCUAAGUUUUCACACUGAUUACCCUGUUCUGCAGCAUCCUCCUGGGAUUCAGUUUCUUCAUUGUAUAAAACAAGCAGCUACUGGAGGUGAAAGUGAAGUUGUAGAUGGAUUUCAUGUAUCCAACAAGCUGAAGGAGCAAAAUCCUCAAGCCUUUCAGAUCCUCUCCUCCACCCUUGUAGACUUCACGGAUGUUGGGGUCGACUACUGUGAUUUCACUAUGCAGUCUAAACAGAGGAUUAUAGAAUUACAGAGGCCAGGUGGUUCGUAUCAAUUAUAAUAAUGCAACAAGAGACACUGUUUUUGACAUACCUGCUGAAAAAGUGCAGCCAUUUUAUGCAGCUUUGAAGGAAUUUGUUGAUCUAUUGAACAGCCCGGAACAUAAGUUUACCUACAAGAUGAAACCAGGAGACAUAGUAACAUUUGACAACUGGCGUUUACUGCAUGGUCGCCGGAGCUACCAAUCAGGAACAGAAAUAUCCCGUCACCUCGAAGGUGCUUAUGCAGACUGGGAUGUGGUAAUGUCAAGACUCCGACUCCUGAGGA